AGGGAAUCUUCCACAAUGGACGAAAGUCUGAUGGAGCAACGCCGCGUGAGUGAUGAAGGUUUUCGGAUCGUAAAGCUCUGUUGCCAGGGAAGAACGCUUGGGAGAGUAACUGCUCCCAAGGUGACGGUACCUGAGAAGAAAGCCCCGGCUAACUACGUGCCAGCAGCCGCGGUAAUACGUAGGGGGCAAGCGUUGUCCGGAAUUAUUGGGCGUAAAGCGCGCGCAGGCGGUUCAUUAAGUCUGGUGUUUAAGGCAAUGGCUCAACCAUUGUUCGCACCGGAAACUGGUGGACUUGAGUGUAGGAGAGGAAAGUGGAAUUCCACGUGUAGCGGUGAAAUGCGUAGAGAUGUGGAGGAACACCAGUGGCGAAGGCGACUUUCUGGCCUAUAACUGACGCUGAGGCGCGAAAGCGUGGGGAGCAAAC
rnacentral:rRNA from 1 species